AUGGGAUCCAUGUCAGAGCACACUUGUCCGAACGUCCCUGCAGUGAGGCCGUCAUCAUUUCCAGGUUGUAGAUUGUUUCCACUGUCUAUCCAUUGUUGAAAGGAGGGAGUUGUUGGGCUUUUCCACAUUGUUGGUAUAAGCGUUGUAUGGUGAGGCUGUUUUUUUUAUUUCUACGGAGGUAUGUGUGUGUGAUUCAGCAGCAUCGCUAGUGGCUGUAAUCCCGUGAUUUCUUUGAUUGUGCGGUGUAUCAUUUGCCAGUAUGGUACAAUGUGGGAAAAUGUCCACCAGAUGUGGAGCCCCUCUUCUGUGUCGCAUCUCCAGCAUUCUCCUGGC